GGUUCUUGGCUGAGUGCGGAACCUUUUGGUUGGAAGUUUGGUGGGUGUUGAAGGUUAACCGGAGGCCAGUGGAUACCUCACUCAUGAACUCGUCAAGAGGCAUCGACUAGUAGAGCCUUCCACAGCGGAAAAGGUUAGGGUUCCUGGUAAGGGGUCAGCGGAUAGCUAGAGCUUCCUUGAUGUUAAAUAGAUGGAACCACUCCAGCUUUUCUAGUUUAGUUCCGUGUUAAAUCUUAGACUUAUGUAGAAUGUACUUUGUCUUUAUAUUGUAAUAAGGUUUUGGGUUGUAUAAGUUUAUACUUUUAAGUUGUGCUCUGAUU